AGCCUAUGAUGUUUCAAGAGUAGUGGACAGAAUAAUUUUCUGACAACAUAAUAUACACUGAGGCU